CAUUACUAUCAAAUCCAAAAAAAAAGAUUCAUCAUAUACAUUACAUUACAUACAAUUCAAUUCUCUCUAUAGAGCUACUACAUUCUCUCAUCUUAUUUGUGAUUGAAACCAAGGUCUUGCAUUGUUUCCGGGUCAUGGGCAAAAGUCAAACUUCUUGGUGCAAAUUGGGCUAACUGUCAAAGCCCAAAUGUGAUUCCAAUUUCCACCUUCCACAUUUGCAAGGUGGCCCAAUAUGUCAUUCUUCAUAAAUAUCUUAAAAAUCCGUUGGGAUUCACAGUCAUCGUAGGUUGUUGCUGCAGCGGCAUUAUGAUUGAAGAGGUUACAUUUGAAUGUUGAUCAUGAUGAUGAAAAACACCUCCAUUUGAAGUAGUAACAUGAG